rnacentral:rRNA from 1 species
GAUGAACGCUGGCGGCGUGCCUAAUACAUGCAAGUCGAGCGAACAGACGAGGAUCUUGCGCCUCUGACAUGAGCGGCGGACGGGUGAGUAACACGUGUAUAACCUACCUAUAAGACUGGGAUAACUUCGGGAAACCGGAGCUAAUACCGGAGAAUAUAUUGAACCACAUUGGUCAAUAGAAAAAGACGGUGUUGGUGGCACGUAUAGAGGCAUCCCGGCCGCAUUAGCUAGUUGUUAAGGUAAAGGCUUAUCAAGGCAACCAUGCGUAGACGAACUGAGAGGGUGGUAGGCCACCUGGGAACUUGGCCACGGUCCAUACUCCUACGGGACGCAGCAGUCGGGAACGUUACGCAAUGGGCGAAAGCAUGACGGAGCAACGCCGAGCGAGUGAUGACGGUCUUCGGAUCGUAAAAAUCUGUUACUAGGGAAGAACCAAUUUGUAAGUAAACAUGCCCGUAUUGACGGUAACUAAUAAGAAAGCACCGGCUAACUACGUG